rnacentral:sRNA from 2 species
CGCCUUUGCCCUUCCUGGGCGUUUCCUCCCUAUUGAACUGCCGCGCCUCCGGGCGCGGCUUUUUUUCGCCCGCA